UUUAUUUGAUAAAUAUCAUACUUGGGUACAUCCAUAUUCCAUGUGGGCCCAGGGAUAUUUAUUUUAUCCGCUGGGUUAUAACUCAAUAUAACUUUAUGCUCUUGCUCAAAUUGUUCCAACUUCAGCCACUGAGUUUUUUUCAGUUGAGUCCCCAGACUUUCUGACUUGAGGAAAAAAACAAACUAAGGUAGAUAUUUUGCAGUAAUGAUCUCAAGUUCCUCCCAUUCCUGCACGUUCAACCCCUUUGCCAAGUGAUUCUGCAGUUUCCCUCACGGAGACUGAGUGCCCUUCUCCAUUCCUGGAAUUUGGGUCCAGCCCUGUGACUUGCUUUGGUCAAUGGGAAAAGGCCAAAGCUUGAAAAGGCCUUGUGCACGGGGCUUGCUGCCCCAGGGACUCUGAGACCACCCUGGGAGCCACCAGCCAGCCCGCGGAGAGGACAGGGUGUGUGGCCCAGGUAUCCCCACGGCCCUUGCCUACCGCCAGCCAGCAGCCACGGGAGCGAUUGCAGACAGAAGAUGAACUCAGACGCAAGCUGCUCCCACGGAUCCCAGUCCAGACUGCCAACCCACGGAGCCACGAGCAGGUCCCGGUGAGUUUAAGCCAGCGCGUCCUGGAAAACUUGCACCACUUCCUUUGCCAGAGGCCGCCAGAAGCGCAUCUGCCAGCAGACAACCUGAGCUGAUUCCUCAUCGCAGCGACAGAGGACGCACGGCCGGCUGGGAACUUGGAGGCAUCUCAGCAAGAGGGUGUUGGAAGAGGCUUAUUAUAGGAGCUGGGCUUGUGCGAGGUGACCUUGGGGACAGUGUGCUCCAGGACUGGUGGGGCAGUUCCACACACAAAGGAAAUCCGGGCUUCUUCCAUCGUUCUGCCUCCAGUCGUUUGUAGCUUCAAGAUAUGAGCUCACUGCAUGGUCCCAGCUGCUGGUGCUCCAGUCAUCACAUCUCCAUCUCAGUGUUCCUUACUCAUGAUGAGCAGCAGGCAGAGAGUGUUAGUAGAAGGUGUGCACGUCAAGAAGUGAUGACAAAUGAUUCACUGGUUUGGUGCGGCUUUUCCACUGUCCCAGAGGAAUGAAGUACACACACACCUGUGAGCUCCGAAAUACCCAUGCUGUCAUUUCAGUGAUUCCACACAGGAGUUCGGUGCUGUCCCAUUUGCAUUCAGAACUGUCACUGUAUAAUGUAAAGGUAAAGGGUACAAUUCAUGCUAAUAACUUCAAUGAAAAAGGUGUUUUAGAACAACAUUAAGUAGUGAAUAAAAACACCAUGACCUGUUGAGAGAGAUACUGUCGGAGAAAGGAACAACCACACUUUCCUAAUAUUUGAACGAGGGGCUCCACGUUUUCAUUUUGCACUGGGCCCUGCAGAUCAGAUUCCUGGUCCUGCUUGGAAUGCUUGCUGUCAGACGUCUCCUCUGAGAAUCCAGCCGCCAUGUUGUGAGGAAGCCCGAGUCCUGUGGAAAGGGCCUGUGUGGAUGGUCCCGUCAGCAGUCCUACCCAGGCCCGACCUUGGAGUCAUCCCAGCCCACAUGACAGAAAUGAAGCCUCCGGAUGAUUCCAUCUCCACCUCUCCCAGAAAUGUCCCCUCCCCCACCCCGCCCCUUACCCCUUAUCUCUUCCAGACACCUCCAUCUAGCAGAAGCUCAGUCGUCCUGGCACUGAGACCCACCCUCCUGCAAUGCCCUGUCUGACAUCCAGACCUACUAAAUCCAUGAGCAAAAUGAAGUCCAUGGUCGUUGUUUUUCUGCCCCUGAGACUGAGAUUGUUUUAUACACAGAAUUAA